GCUGUUAAUUUUCGUUAACAGUAAUAAUUAGCUUAGUAAUUAAAAUGUUAUAACACGUUAAUGUAAGUAACUAUAAUGUAACAUUUUAAACAUAAAUAAUUAAAAUGUAACUUAAAAUAAAUAAAAAUAACUAUUUUAAUGAUUUAUCUAUUUAAAAAGUAGUAAAAUCGCCAUUUGAUUUAUCGUUUUUUGUUUCAGUUAAUUUAAUUAUAAGGAUUUUAAAAUUUAUUUUAUUAUCACAUCAUUUUUCAUGUUAUUUAUUUUAUAAAAAUUAAACAAAAUAAAAAACUAAUUUUAUCUCUAAUAAUCCUCUCAAUCACCUUCCCCGGAACAACUUUCUUCGCUGUCGGACUCGCCAUCAACCUCGCCAGAUUCUUCUUCUUCCUACUAAUCCUCGCUUCUUUCUGGGCGGGUAGCUCGUUCGUCACCUUCCUCUUCGGCGUAGUCCGUGGCAGCCAUGGACAGAGAAGCUGAGGUGGAAAAUGACGGUGCGACGGUGGGAGUGAAACUGUGCAGAAACGGAGCUGGAAAUAGAGGGCUCAACUGUGCAGUCAUGGACAGAACCGCUGCGGAAAACUUCACAUCCCCAAUUUAUACACUCUUUCUCAAUUUGUCAUCAUCAAUUCAUACAGAAAAAAGUCAAAGAAAUAAAAACCCCUUUUAUUUUGAAAAUAAAAAAAAAUUCCAAAAACUUUAAAAAGCAAAAACAAAGGGGAAAUGUGCAAAUCCAACUCUAAUGGUUGCCUGAAAACUUUGUUUGAAAAAGCUAGCGCAUUCUAUUUCUAGCCACAUUUCUACAACAGUUCCGCUCCCACCGCCAUAUCGUUGUUUUCCACCUUAGCUUCUUCGUUCAUGGCUGCAACGGACUACGCCGGAGAGGAAGGUGACGAACAAGCUACCCACCUAAAAAGAAGCGAGGAUUGUUAGCAAGAAGAAGAAUCGGACGAGACCACCGGCGAGUCCGAGGUGAAGAAAGCUGUUCCGCCGAAGGUGAUUGAAAGGAUUAUUAGAGAUGGUAUUGGUUUUUAUCAAAUAAAUGGCAUGGAAAAUUAUGUGGCAAAAAAACUA
rnacentral:lncRNA from 1 species